rfam:Penicillium expansum strain MD-8 contig46, whole genome shotgun sequence.
CAAGCAAUCAAUAUCCAAACACUACUCUCAAGCUUUUUUCAAGGUUCCUUACCUACCAAAUCUAUAUUCAUCAUGUCUCCCUGCACCUGCAACUGCUGCUCCGGCGAGUGCAACUCCUGCGCUUGCUCCACCUGCACUGUAUGUCAUUACUUACU